rnacentral:rRNA from 1 species
UGGACCCACCUGACUCCAUCCCGAACUCAGAAGUGAAACGAAACAGCGUCGAUGGUAGUGUGGGGUCUCCCCAUGUGAGAGUAGAACAUCGCCAGGC